UUUUUGAAUAUGCUGGUAAAAUACAAACACUUGACUAAUUCUACGUUCAAGUUGGGUAUUUGCGUUCCAUCUAAAUGUACCGAAGAAGAUGUGAGAAAUAUACUGAGCUCUGAAACUCUACGACCAAUUGGAAAGAUUGAAGUCUCAUAUUGCGAAGUAAAAGAA